rnacentral:rRNA from 1 species
AGCGAACGCUGGCGGCAGGCUUAACACAUGCAAGUCGAACGGGCGUAGCAAUACGUCAGUGGCAGACGGGUGAGUAACGCGUGGGAACGUACCUUUUGGUUCGGAACAACACAGGGAAACUUGUGCUAAUACCGGAUAAGCCCUUACGGGGAAAGAUUUAUCGCCGAAAGAUCGGCCCGCGUCUGAUUAGCUAGUUGGUGGGGUAAAGGCUCACCAAGGCGACGAUCAGUAGCUGGUCUGAGAGGAUGAUCAGCCACAUUGGGACUGAGACACGGCCCAAACUCCUACGGGAGGCAGCAGUGGGGGAAUAUUGGACAAUGGGCGCAAGCCUGAUCCAGCCAUGCCGCGUGAGUGAUGAAGGCCCUAGGGUUGUAAAGCUCUUUUGUACGGGAAGAUAAUGACGGUACCGUAAGAAUAAGCCCCGGCUAACUUCGUGCCAGCAGCCGCGGUAAU